UAUUCCCUGCCACCUGAAUGCGCCUUAAUGUCUUCUAUGUUUUCUUUGAAGGUCCACAGCAUCAGUGAGCUACCAUAGGCCCAUCCUGGACACAAUGGAGUUUUUCAAUCUGUUGACAUCCCGGCUGUGUUCAAGGCCCACGUUAUGUGAAAUCUCUUCCUUGAAGCCUCUACUGCUGCCCCCAAGAAGUGUGACCACCCCCCUUUGAACCUCCACGCACUAGUCAAGAAACACAGUGCACUGAAAAAGCUGCCAGACGCCAAAUGAGAUAAGGAGCGUCCUGUGAGCAGCGACAGACUUGAACGCUCCCAGCGAACAGACAAGAGAAGUGAUGGCUCUACUGAAGAAAGCUUGUCCUUGAACCUUGAUACCACUGAUUUUUUUUGCAGAUGCUGCUGACCUUUUAAAUAAACACAGGAACUUCUUGGUAAUGGAAUGUCUU
rnacentral:lncRNA from 1 species